AUUGCACGCUGGCGGCAGGCCUAACACAUGCAAGUCGAGCGAGCGGCGGACGGGUGAGUAAUAUCUGGGAAACUGCAUGAUGGAGGGGGAUAACUACUGGAAACGGUAGCUAAUACCGCAUACCAUCAGAUAAUCCCCGAUGGGAUUUGCUAGUAGGGGGGGUAACGGCUAACCUAGGCGAAGAUCCCUAGCUGGUCUGAGAGGAUGACCAGCCACACUGGAACUGAGACACGGUCCAGACUCCUACGGGAGGCAGCAGUGGGGAAUAUUGCACAAUGGGCGCAAGCCUGAUGCAGCCAUGCCGCGUGUGUGAAGAAGGCCUUCGGGUUGUAAAGCACUUUCAGCGGGGAGGCGUUACCCGCAGAAGAAGCACCGGCUAACUCCGUGCCAGCCGCCGCGGUAAUAC
rnacentral:rRNA from 1 species